rnacentral:rRNA from 1 species
CCUACGGGAGGCUGCAGUGGGGAAUUUUGGACAAUGGGCGAAAGCCUGAUCCAGCCAUUCCGCGUGAGUGAAGAAGGCCUUCGGGUUGUAAAGCUCUUUCGGCAGGAACGAAACGGUCUUUUCUAAUACAAGAGGCUAAUGACGGUACCUGAAGAAGAAGCACCGGCUAACUACGUGCCAGCAGCCGCGGUAAUACGUAGGGUGCGAGCGUUAAUCGGAAUUACUGGGCGUAAAGCGUGCGCAGGCGGGUGAAAUCCCCGGGCUUAACCUGGGAACUGCGUGUGUGACUGUAGGGCUAGAGUGCGGCAGAGGGGGGUAGAAUUCCACGUGUAGCAGUGAAAUGCGUAGAGAUGUGGAGGAAUACCGAUGGCGAAGGCAGCCCCCUGGGUCGACACUGACGCUCAUGCACGAAAGCGUGGGGAGCAAACAGGAUUAGAUACCCGUGUAGUC